rnacentral:rRNA from 1 species
CUGAAACUAUGUAUCUUGAGUGCUGGAGAGGGAAGCGGAAUUCCCAGUGUAGCGGUGAAAUGCGUAGAUAUUGGGAGGAACACCAGUGGCGAAGGCGGCUUUCUGGACAGCAACUGACGCUGAGGCGCGAAAGCGUGGGGAGCAAACAGGAUUAGAUACCCUGGUAGUCCACGCUGUAAACGAUGGAUACUAGGUGUAGGAGGUAUCGACCCCUUCUGUGCCGCAGUUAACACAAUAAGUAUCCCACCUGGGGAGUACGGCCGCGAGGUUGAAACUCAAAAGAAUUGACGGGGGCCCGCACAAGCAGUGGAGUAUGUGUUUUAAUUCGAAGCAACGAGAACAAUCUUACGAUUGUAUGAGAUGAUAACGAAGGCGGAAAUGCUGCGGUCGUUCUUGACGAUAUCAUCGGUGGUGCUGCGUGGUUGUCAUCUCGUGUCGUGAGAUGAUGGGGUUAUGUCCUCGCAACAAGCGCAC